rnacentral:rRNA from 1 species
UACGUAGGUGGCAAGCGUUGUCCGGAAUUAUUGGGCGUAAAGCGCGCGCAGGCGGUCCUUUAAGUCUGAUGUGAAAGCCCGCGGCUCAACUGCGGGACUGCAUUGGAAACUGUUUUGCUGGAGUAUCGGAGAGGUAAGCGGAAUUCCUGGUGUAGCGGUGAAAUGCGUAGAUAUCAGGAGGAACACCGGUGGCGAAGGCGGCUUACUGGACGACAACUGACGUUGAGGCUCGAAAGCGUGGGGAGCAAACAGGAUUAGAUACCCCUGUA